CGGGAAAAGCUCAAAUUUAAAAUCUGGCGGUCUUCGGCCGUCCGAGUUGUAAUCUGGAGAAGCGUUUUCCGCGCUGGACCGUGUACAAGUCUCUUGGAACAGAGCGUCAUAGAGGGUGAGAAUCCCGUCUUUGACACGGACUACCAGUGCUUUGUGAUGCGCUCUCGAU
rnacentral:rRNA from 1 species